AUUGAACUCUGGCGGCAGGCCUAACACAUGCAAGUCGAACGAGUGGCGGACGGGUGAGUAAUGUCUGGGAAACUGCCUGAUGGAGGGGGAUAACUACUGGAAACGGUAGCUAAUACCGCCUACCAUCGGAUGUGCCCAGAUGGGAUUAGCUAGUAGGUGGGGUAAAGGCUCACCUAGGCGACGAUCCCUAGCUGGUCUGAGAGGAUGACCAGCCACACGUGAACUGAGACACGGUCCAGACUCAUACGGGAGGCAGCAGUGGGGAAUAGUGCACAAUGGGCGCAAGCCUGAUGCAGCCAUGCCGAGUGUAUGAAGAAGGCCUUCGGGUUGUAAAGUUCUUUCAGCGGGGAGGCGUUACCCGCAGAAGAAGCACCGGCUAACUCCGUGCUAGCAGCAGCGGUAAUUC
rnacentral:rRNA from 1 species